rnacentral:ncRNA from 1 species
CGUUGGAAAUUUGAGAGGAUCUGUCCUUAGUACGAGAGGACCGGGAUGGACUUACCGCUGGUGUACCAGUUGUCUCGCCAGAGGCAUCGCUGGGUAGCUAUGUAGGGAAGGGAUAAACGCUGAAAGCAUCUAAGUGUGAAGCCCACCUCAAGAUGAGAUUUCCCAUUUCUUAAAGAAAGUAAGAUCCCUGAGAGAAGAUCAGGUAGAUAGGUCAGGAGUGGAAGUGCAGUGAUGUACGGAGCGGACUGAUACUAAUCGAUCGA